rnacentral:lncRNA from 1 species
UGCAGAUGCUAUUUUGCAGGUAUUCAUUUCUGAUGAUAGACGAUAGAAAGUUGGUCGCAACAUACUUCAUAAUCUUUUAAGACAGAUAAAGAUACUUUGAUCUAAUCCAAAUACCCUCGAAGCAGAUUUACAUUUUAUGCUUGUGCAUGCAUUUAAUAGAAUCAGGGCGAUCCAUUUUUGAUAAACACAUCGAGAUUGU